rnacentral:rRNA from 1 species
UACGUAGGGGGCAAGCGUUAUCCGGAAUUACUGGGUGUAAAGGGAGCGUAGACGGUGAUGUAAGUCUGGAGUGAAAGGCGGGGGCCCAACCCCCGGACUGCUCUGGAAACUAUGUGACUGGAGUGCAGGAGAGGUGAGCGGAAUUCCUAGUGUAGCGGUGAAAUGCGUAGAUAUUAGGAGGAACACCAGUGGCGAAGGCGGCUCACUGGACUGUAACUGACGUUGAGGCUCGAAAGCGUGGAGAGCAAACAGG